GAUGAACGCUGGCGGCGUGCCUAAUACAUGCAAGUCGAGCGAACGGACGAGAAGCUUGCUUCUCUGAUGUUAGCGGCGGACGGGUGAGUAGCACGUGGAUAACCUACCUAUAAGACUGGGAUAACUUCGGGAAACCGGAGCUAAUACCGGAUGAUAUUUUGAACCGCAUGGUUCAAAAGUGAAAGACGGUCUUGCUGUCACUUAUAGAUGGAUCCGCGCUGCAUUAGCUAGUUGGUAAGGUAACGGCUUACCAAGGCAACGAUGCAUAGCCGACCUGAGAGGGUGAUCGGCCACACUGGAACUGAGACACGGUCCAGACUCCUUCGGGAGGCAGCAGUAGGGAAUCUUCCGCAAUGGGCGAAAGCCUGACGGAGCAACGCCGCGUGAGUGAUGAAGGUCUUCGGAUCGUAAAACUCUGUUAUUAGGGAAGAACAUAUGUGUAAGUAACUGUGCACAUCUUGACGGUACCUAAUCAGAAAGCCACGGCUAACUACGUG
rnacentral:rRNA from 1 species